UACGUAGGGGGGCAAGCGUUGUCCGGAAUCAUUGGGCGUAAAGCGCGUGUAGGCGGCUCGAUAAGUCUGCUGUGAAAGUCCAGGGCUCAACCCUGGGAUGCCGGUGGAUACUGUCGAGCUCGAGUCCGGAAGAGGCGAGUGGAAUUCCUGGUGUAGCGGUGAAAUGCGCAGAUAUCAGGAGGAACACCUGUGGCGAAGGCGGCCCCCUGGGCCGGCCCUGACACUGAGACGCGAAGGCGUGGGGAGCGAACAGG
rnacentral:rRNA from 1 species